CGGAGCGUUGGCUUUUGGUGAGGUCGGCCAAAAACCUUGCUGCUUUUCCACAUGAUGCUUUAAAUGUGUUCGAAAGGAUGAUGUUUCACCUUAAGAAAUGUUGGUUUCUAGCUGUUCAAGGACUGGUGUUUGUGGCGACGGAAUCUAUAUCCGAAGUUACAGUAAAGUGUGGAGAAGCAGCAAGGUUGCCCUGUAAAGCUGAGUAUGAAGCUGGAGUCCAGUACAGGGCUCUCAGCUGGUAUAAGAUCGCUGAUGAGA